CCCUUAGAUGUUCUGGGCCGCACGCGCGCUACACUGAUCAGUGCAACAAGCAUCCGUCCUUGGCCGACAGGCCCGGGCAAUCUUUGAACGCUGAUCGUGAUGGGGAUAGACUUUUGCAAUUUUUGGUCUUCAACGAGGAAUUCCUAGUAAUGGUGAAUCAUCAGUUCAUCGUGAUUACGUCCCUGCCCUUUGUACACACCGCCCGUCGCUCCUACCGAUUGAGCAAACCGGUGAAUAGUUUGGACCGUCGGCUUUCUCGGUUCGCCGGGUUAGCAGUGCGGAAAAUUCAGUGAACCUUUUUGCUUAGAGGAAGGAGAAGUCGUAACA
rnacentral:rRNA from 1 species